rnacentral:rRNA from 1 species
GGAUUAGAUACCCGGGUAGUCCACGCCGUAAACGAUGGAUACUCGCUGCCGGCGAUACAAUGUCGGUGGCUUAGCGAAAGCGUUAAGUAUCCCACCUGGGGAGUACGCUCGCAAGAGUGAAACUCAAAAGAAUUGACGGGGGCCCGCACAAGUGGUGGAGCAUGUGGUUUAAUUCGAUGAUACGCGAGGAACCUUACCUAGGCUAGAAUGCGCGUGACCGGUUCAGAGAUGAACCUUUCCUUCGGGACACAAAGCAAGGUGCUGCAUGGCCGUCGUCAGCUCGUGCCGUGAGGUGUUGGGUUAAGUCCCGCAACGAGCG